rnacentral:misc_RNA from 1 species
GAUGAAGAACGCAGCGAAAUGCGAUAAGUAGUGUGAAUUGCAGAAUUCCGUGAAUCAUCGAAUCUUUGAACGCACAUUGCGCCUUCUGGUAUUCCGGAAGGCAUGCCUGUUCGAGAGUCAUUAACAACCGUUUUGAUCCCUUUCUUUCAGAAAUUACAAAGAGGAAAAGGGUUUGGUUAUGGUGGAGGAGGGAAAGGGAGCGUUUAGCCUGUAAAAAAAGAGGCUGUGUUCCGCCUCCCCCCCAAAAUUGUACAGGCGGUCGUGUGCGCCCACGCAUCGAGGUGUUGUAAAAGCUGCCACGGCACUUUUCACCUGUGCAGUGCGAGAUUGGCCAGCCGGUUUAAAAACCCCUCCAAACAAUCAAAGGUUGACCUCGGAUCAGGUAGGGAUACCCGCUGAACUUAAGCAUAUCAAUAAGCGGAGGA